rnacentral:lncRNA from 10 species
AGAUGCCUCAGGAUGAAAAUAGAAAGCCUCCAGACCUGGGAGAAAGAAGGGUGUAUACACCUCCCGAAAGGUAGAUGGGGGGCAGUGUACUUGCACAACUCACUCUCCAGAAUGGGCUUGGCAGUGUCCCAGUGGAAGACUAUGGUAGAUGAUCAAGAAAACAAAAAGUCUGCGGAAGGAGUUGAGGGUCGCAGAGGGAGGAGAAUCUAUUGCAGAAUACACAGUGCAGACAGAAUACUCAAGGGCAUGGAUGAAGUGUCCUUACAAUGAGGGCUGAGGGUCUGAGAAUUGGAUAUGAGGCCAUUCAGGAGAGGAUGGGAGUCUGAAUCUGUUUUCUGCUUAGAAGUCCCUCCAGGACACCAGCUUGAGACAAAGGUUGGAGGUAUAGGCAUUGCAGGAUGAGGGUCAGCCUUUUCCAGUGGCCAGGUCUGGCAAAGGUAAGAUGAGAGCAGCUUGCUGUCAAUGUGGCUCUGGCUUGGGUAUUGUGAGCAUUGUCAGGGAAGGCUACAGAGAGUCAGAUGAGACCUGCAGGAGCCCAUGGCCUCCUAGAGACAAGGCAUCAAUUUAGCUAGGUGUUAUAGUGUCACCACUAUGACCUGGGAGUUACAGUGUCACCACUAGAGACCCAACAGCAGGAUGUGGAACUGAGAAGUGGUUGAUUGGUUGUUCAUGGGCAGGAAUAUGUGGGUGUUUUGGUUUGAGUAAAGAGUGGGCACACCUUAGAGAAUGAAGCCCCCAAAACACCAGAAAAUUGGACAGGGUAGGGAGCCUAGGUCCUGGAUGGCUGGGGGCAAGCUCCAGGUGGAGUGUAACUCUGAGGGCAUCAGAUAUUUUCUGACUCAGUUGUCAUAUGGGCCAUAUGGCACAUAUAUGGCACAUAGGGAACAUAUUGCACACUUCUCUUGCAGUAGCCUGCUAGUGGGUGGACAAUAUCCUGUGCACUGAACAGAGGCAGCAAGUGAGCAGAACAACUCAUCAUGACGGCUUUUUGUCCUUGUCUCCAUGCAAGCCAGGUGUUAUUUCUGUGGUUUCGGACGUUGGUAUUGAUGCACGGUUUUUUAAAAGGGGAGGCUAAAGUCCCAGAGUUUGGUAGACUGCACCUCUCCAGAUGAGAUUUUAAGAGCCCCCGAUUUUCACACAUGGGGAGAGUGAUUGCCCUCACAAACUCUUCCUCCUCAUUGUGGUUUCUAGGUUUUCACUUUGUCAGACAUUUUGAGUUUCGAUCACAAACACUCCACGUUCACAUCACCCAUGCAUGCUGCCCACCCGUAUCCACAAGGCUGCUGUGUCUACUCUGCUCCUGUUUUCCAAAGCACCCCUUCCAUCAGGAAAUGUGCCUUCCAUUCCUAGGGAUGUCAUGAUUCCCAGCUUUCAUAUCUCCUCACAGAGGAGGUUCCCAAAUUACUCUGGGUUCUCAGUCCAGAAGUUGAGCCUUUAAAACCCUUUUCUGUCAUAUGGUCAGUCCGUUGCAGGGUGCAGCCCCUCAGCAGCCAAGAUUCCCUGUGGAUAGCUCUUCAAUCUGAUUGCCUGGGCUUUCUCCAUCAUGAAACCUUUCAUCUCCUUGGUCCUUGUCACACACCCUGAACCCCAAAAUAGAAAAGCCACAACAGAAUGAAGUAGAUGAGAAACAAUCUCCUUGUUUAUAAUUCCGUUUAUUUCCUCACAUACCAGCCAAGCUUCUCAGUCAGGCAGACACAAUAGAUGGAAUGGCAAGGGAAGUGAAGAGUGGAGGCUGCAUCCCUUCAGCCGCCAGCUGAUGUUCUGCUUAUUUCGCAUACCGGAACUCCCAGGCGUCCUCAAACCACAAUCACAGUUGUUGGUUCCAGAAACAUCUUCUUUGGAAAAACAUGUGACAUCAGUUUCCUCAGAGUCUUCCGGACAAUCCAGUCACACAGAACUGACAAAACCUUGUCAGGUGAGAAGAUAAGGAUCUUCUUCAAUACAGAAUAUGUCAACAUCUCCUUCUGAAUAGUUCCGUUUAUUUGCUCACAUACCAGCCAAGCUUCUCAGUCAGCAGGCACAAUAGACUGAAUAGGAAGGGAAGUGAAGAGUGAAGUCUGGAUCCGUUUAGCCUCCAGCUGAUGUUCUGCUUAUUUCCUGUACUGGAACUCUCAGAAGUCCUCAAACCACAAUCACAGUUGUUGGUUCCAGAAACAUCUUCUUUGGAAAAACAUGUGACAUCAGUUUCCUCAGAGUCUCCCGGACAAUCCAGUCACGCAGAACUGACAAAACCUUGUCCAGUAAGAAGGUAAGAAUCUUCUUCAAUAGAGAAUACGUCAACGUCUCCGUGAACGAAGAGAUCUGCUGGUUCCAAGGACUUGUCGUGGAUUUCUGUCCUAGAUACUUUCUUCCGUAAUUCAAGAUAAAGAAAAUUACAAUCUCUGCUGUCCAUUCCAUCGCUUUUCCCUUCAGAAUCAUAAUCAGAGAAUCCUUGCAGAACGUCGUGAGUGUGCUCUCAGCUGCAAUCACCAGAAGGACUCUUCACACUCGGUGAGUCCUCCUCAUUUUAUAGAAGCCAAAGCAGUGACGUAUGCUCACCCCUCCCGCCCCCAGGAGAGAGGUUGCUGGCCAAUGAGCUUGAGCUUCGUCAUCCUUCCAAGCCCCACCCAGUUCCUUUGCUUCCCUUUCACCAACUUUGACUGAAAUGAAUAGGUUACAACCUUUAGCUUUCUGCCCCUUGGAAAACGGAAGCAUUUAGACAUCCGUAUUAAUAUUUGGAUCUAGAGUGUUCGUGUUUUAGCACUUCCUUUUUUGAAAGGAGAAGCAGACGUGUUGUGUUUUUAGGAACACUUCCAAGAAGUUUCUCCUCCUCUAUGAUGAAACCAACACAAGAAAGCCAAAAGGGCGUUUAACCCCUUGAAGCACUGAGAGUUUCCCUGCUGAUAUUCUUAGACUGUUCUUUUUCUAAAACGAGAAAGAGGUGGCUCACCAGGAGAAAGGCAUAGCAGAACCUGGACUGAGACCUACGGGAGACAGAUGCUGCCAUGGGGUUGUAGCCCCACAACUUGCCAGUCUGUAUGCUUCCCUAGAGGUUUGAGCAGCGGAGUACUAAAGAAGCAAGCCACACCCCCACUCCACCUCCUGUGAGGGGGACAAGGAAACUUUUCCCAUUUCAACUGGUGGCUCGUCUGGGAUCUCGGAAGAUCAUCCUGGCCUGCUAAGACCCAUCCUGUGCUUAUAAAAACCCCAAGACCCUAGCAGUCAGACACACAGGAGGCUUGACGUCGAGAGGAGCACAUCAGCGGAGGAACACACAGGCGGCUGGACAUGAAGAGGAACAUGACAACAGGCACCAGCACACCAGCAGGGCACCGACUUAUAGAACGAUGUGGAUUUUGCCUGGGGCAGUCAGAGGAGAGCCAGGGCUGCUGAACGGCCCCAAUCCAGGGAGAAACCAAUCUCCUUUCUGGCUCCCCCAUCUGCUGAGAGCUACUUCCACUCAAUAAAACCUUGCACUCAUUCUCCACGUCCACGUGUGACCUGAUUCUUCUGGAAUGCCAAGGCAAGAACCCUAGGAUACAGAAAGCCCUCUGUCCUUGUGAUAAGGAAUGUGUCUAAUUGAGCUAGUUACCACAAGUUGCCUAUAAAUGGCAAAACUAAAAGACCACACGACCACUGGGGCUUCAGGAACUGUAAACAUCCACCCCUACACACUGCCAGUAUGAGAAAAAUUUGCUGAUAUGUUUUCUGCUGACCUGAUGACAAUGUUCCUAUGGUCACACUAACCACUGCUGGGUAAUUUUCAUCAUGACUCUCGUUUUCAUCUGCUGAAACCAGCCUCCCCAAGAAAGACAACUAUUUUCAAACUGAGGAAAUAAAGUGUUACUAAACCACAGUGUUCUCUCAUGGCUGUUCCUGGAGUUCUUCAAAACACUUGAUAUUAUAAAAUAGAAUUAUUACAGAUCACUGUAUGUUAUGGAUUUAGUCAAAAUGAUAAUUUAAAAUAUGGUUUAAAAUAAAAAACUUUAUUUUCCAAAGAAGAUAGUUUUUUAAACAAGAAUAUCCAAUAAAGACAGUAUGAGGUCAGCUGACUUUAGUGUUGGUGUAUGUGUAUGUGUGUGUGUG